UUUUGUAAAGCACAAGUGUACCAUCACUUUGGUGAGACACUGUAUUCUUGUGCAGAAUGGACUUCAAUGCACGAGUGUUAGUUUAUUAACUGUAAUCAAGGUGUUGGCUCAAGGAAAUAGACUUCCUCCGAGAAAAAAAUUGGACACUUCAUUCAAGAUUAUAUGUUGCGGAAAAUCUCAUUUGAUGGCAAAGUCUACGAAGGCUACAUGUUUAAGAGUUAGGAGACUUCCAUGGAGGAUUUUCCAAGGAAACCUGGAUCUUAUUCCGGCUCCAUAUGAGAAAAUAAAUUGGAACCAACUGUACAGCCAGCCUAUUUGCAGGCCUCUCACACGAUACCAAUUACCAGUAUUCAGCAAUCAGCUCAACUACAAUCGAGUUGAAUUUGACCUUAGGAUGGAAGUCAGAACAGAGGAUAUCAGUAAGUAGCGAGUGGCCACAGGACUAAGAUGACAAUAGAAGAAUUUUAGAGCUUCAAACAACGAUAACAGAUGUCCAAGAAUAAAUACUUUCAGGGCAAGAAAUGGAAAACCUGGGUGUCGAAUUCAAAAACCAUCUCAACAUGUGAUCAAACCUGAGGCAGCCAUUGAGCAGUGACACCUUAAUAAAAUUUUUGCGAACAGGUCUGCUAACUUGUUGAAUGACAACAUCAAUGGAACUGUUAGAAAAGUUUAGAAAGCCACCCACAUUCGACAAUUUUUCGAACGUCAAUUCUCAAAAAACUUUACCCCCAGCUCACUGCAAGUACCUCAGUGAAACGCAUGAAACGACAAAAAAUGCCAACCCCAAAACCACCAAAAAUGCAGACACUUAAUAAUUUUAUAGAU